GACGAACGCUGGCGGCGUGCCUAAUACAUGCAAGUCGAACGCAGAGGGGACGGGUGAGUAACACGUGGGUAACCUCCCAUCAGAGGGGAUAACACUUGGACACAGGUGCUAAACUGCUACUGAUGGAUGGACCCGCGGUGCAUUAGAUAGUUGGUGAGGUAAAGGCCCACCAAGGCCACGAUGCAUAGCCGACUUGUGGGAUGGAUCGGCCACACUGGGACUGAGACACGACCCAGACUCCGAGGGGAGGCAGCAGUAGGGAAUCUUCGGCACUGGACGAAAGUCUGACCGAGCGACGCCGCGUGAGUGAAGAAGGGUUUCGGAUCGUAAAACUCUGUGGUUAGGGAAGCGGUAUCUGACCGGAAAGCCACGGCUAACUACGUGCCAGGAGCCGCGGGAAUAC
rnacentral:rRNA from 1 species